UACAGAGGGGGCAAGCGUUGUUCGGAAUUACUGGGCGUAAAGGGCGCGUAGGCGGCCUCUUAAGUCGAACGUGAAAUCCCCGGGCUCAACCCGGGAACUGCGUCCGAUACUGGGAGGCUUGAAUCCGGGAGAGGGAUGUGGAAUUCCAGGUGUAGCGGUGAAAUGCGUAGAUAUUGGGAGGAACACCAGUGGCGAAGGCGGCUCACUGGACCGGUACUGACGCUGAUGCGCGAAAGCGUGGGGAGCAAACGGG
rnacentral:rRNA from 1 species